GAGUAACACGUGGGUAACCUGCCCAUCAGAGGGGGAUAACACUUGGAAACAGGUGCUAAUACCGCAUAAUAGUCGACACCGCAUGGUGUUGAUUUGAAAGACGCUUUCGGGUGUUACUGAUGGAUGGACCCGCGGUGCAUUAGCUAGUUGGUGAGGUAACGGCUCACCAAGGCGAUGAUGCAUAGCCGACCUGAGAGGGUGAUCGGCCACACUGGGACUGAGACACGGCCCAGACUCCUACGGGAGGCAGCAGUAGGGAAUCUUCGGCAAUGGACGAAAGUCUGACCGAGCAACGCCGCGUGAGUGAAGAAGGUUUUCGGAUCGUAAAACUCUGUUGUUAGAGAAGAACAAGUAGGAGAGUAACCGCUCUUACCUUGACGGUAUCUAACCAGAAAGCCACGGCUAACUACGUGCCAGCAGCCGCGGUAAUACGUAGGUGGCAAGCGUUGUCCGGAUUUAUUGGGCGUAAAGCGAGCGCAGGCGGUUUCUUAAGUCUGAUGUGAAAGCCCCCGGCUCAACCGGGGAGGGUCAUUGGAAACUGGGAGACUUGAGUGCARAAGARGAGAGUGGAAUUCCAUGUGUAGCGGUGAAAUGCGUARAUAUAUGGAGGAACACCAGUGGCGAAGGCGACUCUCUGGUCUGUAACUGAC
rnacentral:rRNA from 1 species